rnacentral:rRNA from 1 species
AUUCCAGCUCCAAUAGCGUAUACUAAAGUUGUUGCAGUUAAAAAGCUCGUAGUUGAAUUUCUGGUCGUGGCGACCGGUCCGCCCCUCACGGGGUGUGCACCUGGUCUCUACGUCCAUCCUCGGGGAGAGCGUGUCUGGCAUUCAGUUGUCGGGCGCGGGAUCCUCGUCAUUUACUGUGAGCAAAAUAGAGUGUUCAAAGCAGGCUUAGGCCGUUGAAUACAUUAGCAUGGAAUAAUAAGAUAGGACCUUGGUCUAUUUUGUUGGUUUGCAUUCCAAGGUAAUGAUUAAUAGGGAUAGUUGGGGGUAUUCGUAUUCAAUUGUCAGAGGUGAAAUUCUUGGAUUUAUGGAAGACGAACUACUGCGAAAGCAUUUACCAAGGAUGUUUUCAUUG